rnacentral:misc_RNA from 1 species
UCAAACUUGGUCAUUUAGAGGAAGUAAAAGUCGUAACAAGGUCUCCGUUGGUGAACCAGCGGAGGGAUCAUUAAAGGGUCGCGUGCAUUGCUCGCGGCUUACUGCCAAACCCUAUGUGAACUUACCACUGUUGCCUCGGCGGCGCCGCGGCUACCCUGGAGAGCUACCCUGUAGCCAUUUACCCUGUAGAUGGCUACCCUGUAGCUACCCUGUAGCUCGCACGUAAAGGCCCGUCAAAGGACCCUAAACUCUAUUUUGACUUGGUAUCUCUGAGUAAAUCAACUUAAUAAGUUAAAACUUUCAACAACGGAUCUCUUGGUUCUGGCAUCGAUGAAGAACGCAGC